GGCGCAGUGCCAGAGUGGUUAAUGGGUGUGACUCGAAUCGUGUCGCAGCUCAUUUGCAGCAGCUUCACUAUCUCCGAUAUCACAUGGCUUCGGCCGCGCAAGUUCGAAUCUUGUCUGCGUCG